CAGACGUCCUCAGUUCCACCAGGAAGAAGGAGAUGACAUUGGUGGGUCUCUCAGGCUGCUUUCAGGGGUCAAAAUGAGAUCCUUGCGAUGUCCAGGAACGAUGUCCAGGAACGGUGCAGGGCUCCUGGCAGGGAAGCGCCCGGAUGCCUGCUCUUCCCUCCCUGUACCACGUGGCACCCAGAAGUGGGAAUACUGUUUUGCCUGUUCCUCUGCUGAACUGCGGGCUCAUUCAGAGGAGCUGCUCCCGCAUCCCCGCGCCCCCACCCAGCCAAGAUGAACCCGUUCCUCCAAACUCCUCUAUUCAGAUGCACUUUACAGAAGAGAAGAAAAAAGAAAGCCUUUUGAGAGGCAAGUUGAGAAGUCGCCAGGGGAGUUCACAGAGGAUUUCCUUGUAGUUUGCGUUUUCUUUUGUGCCCUGGUGAGCAGCUUGGAGAAGGAGCUGGGGCUUCCUGGAAGAAGCAGGGGCUGGGGAGGGGGGCAGGAGACCCUGUUCCCUCUCCGUGCUAGGCUUCUGGUGGAAAGGAGGAAGGCCGUGCAGUGAGGGGCAGCUCAAGGCUUCCCUGGCCCAGAGGCCGAGGCUGCCGCCAGCAGAAGGCAGGUGUCUGCAGGUGUGCAAGUGCACGUGCCCCUUCCGGUCAGCCGUGUGCCUGGGGCCCGCCAGCUGGCCCUGAAGCCCCCCGCUGCCAAGAGACCACGGAGCUGCUUCUCCAAGCAGAGCAAAGGAAAAAAACUGGAUCCGUUAAACUGUGUUUGUUGAAUCUUAUCGAUUAGGAGGAAAGCACUAACUUUGUACUUUGGAUUUUGAAGUUUCAAAUUAAGGGUUAAUUUGCAUUUGCUGUUUAUGAGUGAGAAUGAGGAAACUUGUACUGGUUUUUUACUAUUCUAAUAAAGCGAAAUUUUAAUGAAAAAAGUAAU
rnacentral:lncRNA from 1 species